rnacentral:lncRNA from 1 species
CCCACAAGGAUUUGCGUGUCACCACGAAGAAACGAGUUAAGAAAAUUACUGUUGAGAACGCUUCAUUAGCAGAAGAACAAAGAUGGGUAGUGGCUGAGGAACAAGGAGCUAAAGUAGUUCGUCAAAUGUUGCUAUAAAGAUCUUGAAGUUGAUGUAUUAUUAGAGACUUGUAUGGUCGUUAGGUCGUUAGGUAUAUGGAGCUUGCACGCGGAGAAGCUGGUCGUUGUGGGGCUUGGAUCGUGACUAUCUUGUUAAACACUUUGAUAUUUAAUACUUAUUUACUAUGGGAUUUCUAAUAAUACGCUUCCGCUAAACAAUGAUAUCUUACUAUGUUUUAGAAACACCUUUCAUAUGGAUUUGGUUUGGUUUAUAUU